GGAGUUUGGGCCGUGUCUCAGUUCCAAUGUGGGGGACCUUCCUCUCAGAACCCCUACUGAUCGCGGGCUUGGUGGGCCGUUACCCCGCCAACAACCUAAUCAGACGCAUCCCCAUCCCAUAGCGGUGAACCUUUGGUAUUCUUCUGAUGGCAUCGAAAUACAACAUAGAGCAUUAAUCCGACUUUCGCCGGGCUAUUCCCUACUGGGGGCCAGGUUGGAUACGCGUUACUCACCCGUGCGCCGGUCGCCAUCAUUGUGUGCAAGCACACAACAUGCUGCCCCACGACUUGCAUGUGUUAAGCCUGUAGCUAGCGUUCAUC
rnacentral:rRNA from 1 species